GUCCUGAGUGAGUGAAUGAUUCUCAUUUCUCGUGUGUCUGUCCAGUCAUUGGCUUCAAUUGCCAUGUGAAGCAAUAUUACCAUUUAAGGCGUGUGCGUCUGUGCCACAAAGGCGAUAUUGAUCAUCAGUACAUUUCGUCUUCCCGUCAGGAACACAACAUCACUAUAUGCCGCUAUACGUGCAAUUCCAGAAACUACGAAAACUUUUCUCUUUGAAUUUCUUCAACUCUUUCUCCCAGUUGUGACGUUCACUGAAAAAGGUGUCACGACUGAAACACGAUCAAGGCACUAGUGUUAUGGCUAAUUUAAACACGAAGCCUUAUCUCGAGUAGAUUUUGCUAUAUACAUUUGAAAUUCCA